GAUGAACGCUGGCUACAGGCUUAACACAUGCAAGUCGAGGGGAAACGCCGGGGAAGCUUGCUUCCCCGGGCGUCGACCGGCGCACGGGUGAGUAACGCGUAUCCAACCUGCCUCUGACUGAGGGAUAACCCGUCGAAAGUCGGCCUAAUACCUCAUGGUAUCGUCUGCGGGCAUCCAACGACGAUUAAAGAUUUCAUCGGUCAGGGAUGGGGAUGCGUCUGAUUAGCUUGUUGGCGGGGUAACGGCCCACCAAGGCUACGAUCAGUAGGGGUUCUGAGAGGAAGGUCCCCCACAUUGGAACUGAGACACGGUCCAAACGCCUACGGGAGGCAGCAGUGAGGAAUAUUGGUCAAUGGGCGAGAGCCUGAACCAGCCAAGUAGCGUGCAGGAAGACGGCCCUAUGGGUUGUAAACUGCUUUUAUGCGGGGAUAAAGUGAGGGACGGGUCCCUCAUUGCAGGUACCGCAUGAAUAAGGACCGGCUAAUUCCGUG
rnacentral:rRNA from 1 species